CUAGUUGGUAAGGUAACGGCUUACCAAGGCAACGAUGCAUAGCCGACCUGAGAGGGUGAUCGGCCACACUGGAACUGAGACACGGUCCAGACUCCUACGGGAGGCAGCAGUAGGGAAUCUUCCGCAAUGGGCGAAAGCCUGACGGAGCAACGCCGCGUGAGUGAUGAAGGUCUUCGGAUCGUAAAACUCUGUUAUUAGGGAAGAACAUAUGUGUAAGUAACUGUGCACAUCUUGACGGUACCUAAUCAGAAAGCCACGGCUAACUACGUGCCAGCAGCCGCGGUAAUACGUAGGUGGCAAGCGUUAUCCGGAAUUAUUGGGCGUAAAGCGCGCGUAGGCGGUUUUUUAAGUCUGAUGUGAAAGCCCACGGCUCAACC
rnacentral:rRNA from 1 species